rnacentral:snoRNA from 1 species
CCCGCGGGUCCCAGAUGCACUGGAUGAACCCACAGUAUUUUCUAUAUUGCCGUGGAGCCUGAGAGGAUUACCAAAGUGUGUCUGGUGAAGUAGGGCCAGGGGACCGGGG